UUAAAUUGAAGAGUUUGAUCAUGGCUCAGAUUAAACGCUGGCGGCAGGCCUAACACAUGCAAGUCGAACGGUAACAGGAAGCGCUUGCUG
rnacentral:rRNA from 1 species